CUUUACUCCAGCUUUGCACUGGCAUCAGGAUUGUGAUGUGCAGGAUAGGUGGUAGGCAUCGAAGCAGGGACGCCAGUCUCUGUGGAGCCUCCCUUGAGAUACCACCCUUCGCACUCUUGAUGUCUAACCGCGGCCCGUUAUCCGGGUCCGGGACCCUGCAUGGUGGGGAGUUUGACUGGGGCGGUCGCCUCCCAAACAGUAACGGAGGCGCGCGAAGGUUGGCUCAGAGCGGUCGGAAAUCGCUCGUUGAGUGCAAUGGCAGAAGCCAGCCUGACUGCAAGACUGACAAGUCGAGCAGAGACGAAAGUCGGCCAUAGUGAUCCGGUGGUCCCAAGUGGGAGGGCCAUCGCUCAACGGAUAAAAGGUA
rnacentral:rRNA from 1 species